UGCCAGCCGCCGCGGUAAUACGAAGGUCCCAAGCGUUGUUCGGAAUCACUGGGCGUAAAGCGUGUGUAGGCUGCGCGGAAAGUCAAAUGUGAAAGCCCGGGGCUCAACCUCGGAACUGCAUUCGAUACUGCCUGGCUAGAGGACUGGAGGGGGGUCUGGAAUUCUCGGUGUAGCAGUGAAAUGCGUAGAUAUCGAGAGGAACACUAGUGGCGAAGGCGAGACCCUGGACAGAUCCUGACGCUGAGACACGAAGGCUAGGGUAGCGAACGGGAUUAGAUA
rnacentral:rRNA from 1 species